CCCUUGAAAUGCCCCGCUGAUUCGGCUACCACGGCAGGCACACCGGGCGGACAUCUCGGAACACGGUGCGAUUCCGUGGCGGUCCCGCCGCCGUAACCGGGGACGGGGAGAGACUUCGGGCUUUUUUAGCCCGGCCACUGUCGGGGUUGACCCCGGCGGGAAGGCCGUCUUCCCCCGGCUGAUCCGGAAGCCGGAAGACCUGUCCGCAUUGGUUUUGUUCU
rnacentral:ncRNA from 2 species